GUCGAGCGGCGGACGGGUGAGUAAUGCCUAGGAAAUUGCCCUGAUGUGGGGGAUAACCAUUGGAAACGAUGGCUAAUACCGCAUGAUGCCUACGGGCCAAAGAGGGGGACCUUCGGGCCUCUCGCGUCAGGAUAUGCCUAGGUGGGAUUAGCUAGUUGGUGAGGUAAGGGCUCACCAAGGCGACGAUCCCUAGCUGGUCUGAGAGGAUGAUCAGCCACACUGGAACUGAGACACGGUCCAGACUCCUACGGGAGGCAGCAGUGGGGAAUAUUGCACAAUGGGCGCAAGCCUGAUGCAGCCAUGCCGCGUGUGUGAAGAAGGCCUUCGGGUUGUAAAGCACUUUCAGUCGUGAGGAAGGUAGUGUAGUUAAUAGCUGCAUUAUUUGACGUUAGCGACAGAAGAAGCACCGGCUAACUCCGUGCCAGCAGCCGCGGUAAUACGGAGGGUGCGAGCGUUAAUCGGAAUUACUGGGCGUAAAGCGCAUGCAGGUGGUUUGUUAAGUCAGAUGUGAAAGCCCGGGGCUCAACCUCGGAAUUGCAUUUGAAACUGGCAGACUAAGUACUGUAGAGGGGGGGUAGAAUUUCAGGUGUAGCGGUGAAAUGCGUAGAGAUCUGAAGGAAUACCGGUGGCGAAGGCGGCCCCCUGGACAGAUACUGACACUCAGAUGCGAAAGCGUGGGGAGCAAACAGGAUUAGAUACCCUGGUAGUCCACGCCGUAAACGAUGUCUACUUGGAGGUUGUGGCCUUGAGCCGUGGCUUUCGGAGCUAACGCGUUAAGUAGACCGCCUGGGGAGUACGGUCGCAAGAUUAAAACUCAAAUGAAUUGACGGGGGCCCGCACAAGCGGUGGAGCAUGUGGUUUAAUUCGAUGCAACGCGAAGAACCUUACCUACUCUUGACAUCCAGAGAACUUUCCAGAGAUGGAUUGGUGCCUUCGGGAACUCUGAGACAGGUGCUGCAUGGCUGUCGUCAGCUCGUGUUGUGAAAUGUUGGGUUAAGUCCCGCAACGAGCGCAACCCUUAUCCUUGUUUGCCAGCGAGUAAUGUCGGGAACUCCAGGGAGACUGCCGGUGAUAAACCGGAGGAAGGUGGGGACGACGUCAAGUCAUCAUGGCCCUUACGAGUAGGGCUACACACGUGCUACAAUGGCGCAUACAGAGGGCAGCCAACUUGCGAAAGUGAGCGAAUCCCAAAAAGUGCGUCGUAGUCCGGAUUGGAGUCUGCAACUCGACUCCAUGAAGUCGGAAUCGCUAGUAAUCGUGGAUCAGAAUGCCACGGUGAAUACGUUCCCGGGCCUUGUACACACCGCCCGUCACACCAUGGGAGUGGGCUGCAAAAGAAGUAGGUAUG
rnacentral:rRNA from 1 species